rnacentral:rRNA from 1 species
GGUUAAGCGACUAAGCGUACACGGUGGAUGCCCUGGCAGUCAGAGGCGAUGAAGGACGUGCUAAUCUGCGAUAAGCGUCGGUAAGGUGAUAUGAACCGUUAUAACCGGCGAUUUCCGAAUGGGGAAACCCAGUGUGAUUCGUCACACUAUCAUUAACUGAAUCCAUAGGUUAAUGAGGCGAACCGGGGGAACUGAAACAUCUAAGUACCCCGAGGAAAAGAAAUCAACCGAGAUUCCCCCAGUAGCGGCGAGCGAACGGGGAGGAGCCCAGAGCCUGAAUCAGUGUGUGUGUUAGUGGAAGCGUCUGGAAAGGCGCGCGAUACAGGGUGACAGCCCCGUACACAAAAAUGCACAUACUGUGAGCUCGAUGAGUAGGGCGGGACACGUGGUAUCCUGUCUGAAUAUGGGGG